AGGCUGGGACAGGGGGUGGGGGGGACAGAGGCACACAGCCCAGACCACACACCAGCAGCAUUCCCACAAGCCUCUGCAACAGAGAUGGACGUAGAGGCGCUAGUGGACCGGACAUUAAGACGUCUUUACCUCUCACAUUCAGCAGCAGAAAGGCCAUGUAUUUUCCCUCCCAUCAACCCUGCUACUCAAAGCAAAGAGAGGGGAGACCCAGCCAAGCUCCCCCUCCGGGAGCUCCCCCUCCAGGAGCUCCCCAUCCAGGAGCACCAGAGGAAAGUGGAGGGCA